AACGAACGCUGGCGGCAGGCUUAACACAUGCAAGUCGAGCGAGACCUUCGGGUCUAGCGGCGGACGGGUGAGUAACGCGUGGGAACGUGCCCUUCUCUACGGAAUAGCCCCGGGAAACUGGGAGUAAUACCGUAUACGCCCUUUGGGGGAAAGAUUUAUCGGAGAAGGAUCGGCCCGCGUUGGAUUAGGUAGUUGGUGGGGUAAUGGCCCACCAAGCCGACGAUUCAUAGCUGGUUUGAGAGGAUGAUCAGCCACACUGGGACUGAGACACGGCCCAGACUCCUACGGGAGGCAGCAGUGGGGAAUCUUAGACAAUGGGGGCAACCCUGAUCUAGCCAUGCCGCGUGAGUGAUGAAGGCCUUAGGGUUGUAAAGCUCUUUCAGCUGGGAAGAUAAUGACGGUACCAGCAGAAGAAGCCCCGGCUAACUCCGUG
rnacentral:rRNA from 1 species